UGCACUAUGGACGCUUUGUCGGCAGGGCUUGGGGCGGAAGUGCCAAUGAAACAUGGCAUCAGAGAGGGUCAUAGUCCCGUGCUCGCUCAAUCCAAGCCCGUGUGCAGCGAAAAGUGCUCCGCGAGUCGCAUAGUUUGGUAAUGCUAUGCCAAGUGGGAGGUAGAGCCCUUCUAAAGCUAAAUAUGAUGAUGUGACCGAUAGUUCACAAGUACCGCGAGGGAAAGGUGAAAAGUAACCAUGUAGAAUGGGUUGAAAGAGAAGUGAAAGUGCUACCGGGAUAAGGGCAUGUGACAGCUGGUGUCUGUAGGGCGUGCUUCAGUGCUGUCCUUCUAGAACGGUGUGCGGAUGUGUCCGAUGGGGAGACAAGGCUGUCUGGGAAUGUGGCUCAACCUUCGGGAUGAGUGUUAUAGCCCGGCGUGCAAAAGAACCCCAUGACACAUGUGAACUGUGCAUCUUGCUGUGGCAUGCCUCCCGUCUCGAAACACGGACCAAGGAGUGCAUCUUGCAUGCGAGUCGAAGGGGGUUGGAAUCCCUGGAGGCGUAGCGAAAGCGAAAGACUGUGAAUUGUUGGCAGGCCCUUGUGGCCAGAUGGGAUGAUAAAUCAGCAGCGACCCGCUUUGUGCGAGGGAGAGCAUGCAGGAUACGACCCGAAAGAUGGUGAGCUAUGCUUGGACAAGGUGAAGCCAGUGGAAACGCUGGUGGAGGCCUGAAGCGGUUCUGACGUGCAAAUCGAUCGUGUGAUCUAAGUAUAGGGGCGAAAGACCUAUCGAACCGUCUAAUGGCUGGUUCCCCCCGAAGUUUCCCUCAGGAUAGC
rnacentral:rRNA from 1 species